rnacentral:rRNA from 1 species
UGGCGGGGAGCCUACAAUGCAAGUCGAGCGGAUGACGGGAGCUUGCUCCUUGAUUCAGCGGCGGACGGGUGAGUAAUGCCUAGGAAUCUGCCUGGUAGUGGGGGACAACGUUUCGAAAGGAACGCUAAUACCGCAUACGUCCUACGGGAGAAAGCAGGGGACCUUCGGGCCUUGCGCUAUCAGAUGAGCCUAGGUCGGAUUAGCUAGUUGGUGAGGUAAUGGCUCACCAAGGCGACGAUCCGUAACUGGUCUGAGAGGAUGAUCAGUCACACUGGAACUGAGACACGGUCCAGACUCCUACGGGAGGCAGCAGUGGGGAAUAUUGGACAAUGGGCGAAAGCCUGAUCCAGCCAUGCCGCGUGUGUGAAGAAGGUCUUCGGAUUGUAAAGCACUUUAAGUUGGGAGGAAGGGCAGUAAGUUAAUACCUUGCUGUUUUGACGUUACCGACAGAAUAAGCACCGGCUAACUCUGUGCCAGCAGCCGCGGUAAUACAGAGGGUGCAAGCGUUAAUCGGAAUUACUGGGCGUAAAGCGCGCGUAGGUGGUUCGUUAAGUUGGAUGUGAAAGCCCCGGGCUCAACCUGGGAACUGCAUCCAAAACUGGCGAGCUAGAGUACGGUAGAGGGUGGUGGAAUUUCCUGUGUAGCGGUGAAAUGCGUAGAUAUAGGAAGGAACACCAGUGGCGAAGGCGACCACCUGGACUGAUACUGACACUGAGGUGCGAAAGCGUGGGGAGCAAAACAGGAUUAGAUACCCUGGUAGUCCACGCCGUAAACGAUGUCAACUAGCCGUUGGAAUCCUUGAGAUUUUAGUGGCGCAGCUAACGCAUUAAGUUGACCGCCUGGGGAGUACGGCCGCAAGGUUAAAACUCAAAUGAAUUGACGGGGGCCCGCACAAGCGGUGGAGCAUGUGGUUUAAUUCGAAGCAACGCGAAGAACCUUACCAGGCCUUGACAUGCAGAGAACUUUCCAGAGAUGGGAUUGGUGCCUUCGGGAACUCUGACACAGGUGCUGCAUGGCUGUCGUUCAGCUCGUGUCGUGAGAUGUUGGGUUAAGUCCCGUUAACGAGCGCACCCCUUGGUCCUUAGGUUACCAGCACGUUAUGGUGGGCCACCUCUAAGGAGACUGCCGGUGACAAACCGAAGGAAGGUGGGGAAUGACGUCAAGUCAUUCAUGGGCCCUUA